AAACAGUGAGGUCAAGAUAAGAGAGGAAAGAACUCAUUGUUUACAUGAUCAGGAAAUGGAAUGCCUAAGCUGUCCAGUUUCAGGGCUUCUCUUUCUUGGCAGGGAAGCAUGAGAUGCCAUAGCUCUCUGCUCUCUUCAACCCUCUGCCAAAGGAGAGUUGCCCUGUAACAGGACUCAGCUUAUGGUUCACGAUUGUAAAGACAGAUUCAAGCUUACACUGCAGCUUAGUGUUGUACCGGCCUAUGGUGGUGCAAGUGGUGUAGAUGACCAGCGAUUACCUUCUGACGCGCGCCAGGAUCAGUGGUCGUCGGUAUGGGUAUCCGACGGCGGCUGAUGGCCUUCAGCUUGAGGACGUGACCGAGAUCCCUAGUUAUUGGCCAUGUUUGGCACAGCUGCUACUUGUUGAAAAAGCAGCUUAUCUGAUAAGCUGGUGAAAAGCAGCUUCUGCUUGUUGGCUGCUUUUAGUGUAUUCUGAGAAACAGCUGAACUGAUAAGCUGUUGCAGAAGCUAGCUGUUUGGCAGAACUUCUGCUUAAAUUUGUGAAGAAGCUGAAAAUAAGCUGUGCCAAACAGGGCCAUUGGGUCAGCUACACGCUACUUAUUAUUGAGUUUUUUUUGUUUUGCUAUUAUAAACCUCAUUACAUGCACCUUCGAUGUAAUAGCAUUCAUAAUUUAGGCUUCAAUAUAACAGCAGGCUCUACCACGUCAUACCGUCGAAAUACCGUCCAAAUAGAAUUAUGGGCUUUUUCGGCCACGUGUCAGAAAAGGGCUCGGACAGUGCGACGCAGUAGAGGCUGAUAUAUCGAAGUCCAAAUUAUGAAUGCUAUUACAUCAAAGACGCUUAUAAUGAGGUUUAUAGUAGCUAUAAACUCCUUAUUAUCUGUUGAAGAAACUCCAUCUGACGGGUGCGAGUGCUAGAAUUGUAUGAGAAAAGAAACGGAUCGUGUCAGAUGGAAACGGAUGGCCCGAGCAAAGUGGCCAAGUUGGCGAUGCGCGGUGUAGAGAUAGCGAGUUUAUAUAUAUAAAAGGAAAUCUCCAUUAAUUUCGUGCCAUGACCGUGCGUCUCAUGAUAAAUACAUAGAUCUAUUUUUUGCCCCCGUUUUUCAUCUAUAGAUAGGAUAUAAGAAACCACUAAAAAUCAAUACGAUAAGAACCAUACCACGCA
rnacentral:lncRNA from 1 species